ACGUAGGGUGCAGGCGUUAAUCGGAAUUACUGGGCGUAAAGCGUGCGCAGGCGGUUUCUUAAGUCAGAUGUGAAAGCCCCGGGCUUAACCUGGGAACUGCGUUUGAAACUGGGAGACUUGAGUGUGGCAGAGGGGGGUGGAAUUCCACGUGUAGCAGUGAAAUGCGUAGAUAUGUGGAGGAACACCAAUGGCGAAGGCAGCCCCCUGGGUCAACACUGACGCUCAUGCACGAAAGCGUGGGGAGCAAACAGGA
rnacentral:rRNA from 1 species